UGAGGAAUAUUGGUCAAUGGGCGAGAGCCUGAACCAGCCAAGUAGCGUGCAGGAUGACGGCCCUAUGGGUUGUAAACUGCUUUUAUGCGGGGAUAAAGUGCGCGACGUGUCGUGCAUUGCAGGUACCGCAUGAAUAAGGACCGGCCAAUUCCGUGCCAGCAGCCGCGGUAAUACGGAAGGUCCGGGCGUUAUCCGGAUUUAUUGGGUUUAAAGGGAGCGUAGGCCGCCAGAUAAGCGUGUUGUGAAAUGUACCGGCUCAACCGGUGAAUUGCAGCGCGAACUGUUUGGCUUGAGUGCACGGUAAGCAGGCGGAAUUCAUGGUGUAGCGGUGAAAUGCUUAGAUAUCAUGAAGAACUCCGAUUGCGAAGGCAGCUUGCUGCAGUGCGACUGACGCUGAUGCUCGAAGGUGCGGGUAUCAAACAGG
rnacentral:rRNA from 1 species